rnacentral:rRNA from 1 species
GAUGAACGCUGGCGGCGUGCCUAAUACAUGCAAGUCGAGCGAACGGACGAGAAGCUUGCUUCUCUGAUGUUAGCGGCGGACGGGUGAGUAACACGUGGAUAACCUACCUAUAAGACUGGGAUAACUUCGGGAAACCGGAGCUAAUACCGGAUAAUAUUUUGAACCGCAUGGUUCAAAAGUGAAAGACGGUCUUGCUGUCACUUAUAGGUGGAUCCGCGCUGCAUUAGCUAGUUGGUAAGGUAACGGCUUACCAGGGCAACGAUGCAUAGCCGACCUGAGAGGGUGAUCGGCCACACUGGAACUGAGACACGGUCCAGACUCCUACGGGAGGCAGCAGUAGGGAAUCUUCCGCAAUGGGCGAAAGCCUGACGGAGCAACGCCGAGUGAGUGAUGAAGGUCUUCGGAUCGUAAAACUCUGUUAUUAGGGAAGAACAUAUGUGUAAGUAACUGUGCACAUCUUGACGGUACCUAAUCAGAAAGCCACGGCUAACUACGUG